GACUUGGGGACCAGACCUUUUCUU
rnacentral:miRNA from 1 species